AUUGAACGCUGGCGGCAUGCCUUACACAUGCAAGUCGAACGGUAACGGGCCUUCGGGUGCCGACGAGUGGCGAACGGGUGAGUAAUACAUCGGAACGUGCCCGAUCGUGGGGGAUAACGAGGCGAAAGCUUUGCUAAUACCGCAUACGAUCUACGGAUGAAAGCAGGGGACCGCAAGGCCUUGCGCGGACGGAGCGGCCGAUGGCAGAUUAGGUAGUUGGUGGGAUAAAAGCUUACCAAGCCGACGAUCUGUAGCUGGUCUGAGAGGAUGAUCAGCCACACUGGGACUGAGACACGGCCCAGACUCCUACGGGAGGCAGCAGUGGGGAAUUUUGGACAAUGGGCGCAAGCCUGAUCCAGCCAUGCCGCGUGCAGGAUGAAGGCCUUCGGGUUGUAAACUGCUUUUGUACGGAACGAAAAGCCUUCUUUUAAUACCGGAGGGUCAUGACGGUACCGUAAGAAUAAGCACCGGCUAACUACGUG
rnacentral:rRNA from 1 species